rnacentral:lncRNA from 1 species
AUAUAUUGUGCGCACAACUUAAACAUAUUGUGCGCACAAUAUGAUAUGGUGUGCGCCCAAAAUUAGGACAACAGUUUUCACUUGACCAUGAACUCAUUUUAUUGAUCAUUCAACGAGGUUAAAUGUUCGUGGUUUAGACGAAAUCUCAGAUACCAAAUGCAAUAGUUCUUCUAUAUUUGGUUGUAUAAAACGAUUUUAAUGUCUAAAUGUCAACUUGACAUGUGUCAUCUGACCUUGACCUCAUUUCCAGGGUAAAGCGGUCCGGCA